UUGAGCAUGACGUCAUCGUCCUGUCGGGCGUCCUCACAAAUUACCUGCAUUCAGAGAUGCGUAUCGGCACAGGCCGGUAUGCGAAAGUCCCAUCAUGGGGCCUUAGCUCAGCUGGGAGAGCACCUGCUUUGCAAGCAGGGGGUCGUCGGUUCGAUCCCGACAGGCUCCACCAUUUGAGUGAAACGACUUUGGGUCUGUAGCUCAGGUGGUUAGAGCGCACCCCUGAUAAGGGUGAGGUCGGUGGUUCGAGUCCUCCCAGACCCACCACUCUGAAUGUAGUGCACACUUAAGAAUUUAUAUGGAUCAGCGUUGAGGCUGAGACAUGUUCUUUUAUAACUUGGGACGUAGCGAGCGUUUGAGAAUAUCUAUCUAAACGUGUCGUUGAGGCUAAGGCGGGACUUCGAGUCCCUAAAUAAUUGA
rnacentral:tRNA from 1 species